rnacentral:rRNA from 1 species
GGUUAAGCGACUAAGCGUACACGGUGGAUGCCCUGGCAGUCAGAGGCGAUGAAGGACGUGCUAAUCUGCGAAAAGCGUCGGUAAGGUGAUAUGAACCGUUAUAACCGGCGAUGUCCGAAUGGGGAAACCCAGUGUGAUUCGUCACACUAUCGUUAACUGAAUACAUAGGUUAACGAGGCGAACCGGGGGAACUGAAACAUCUAAGUACCCCGAGGAAAAGAAAUCAACCGAGAUUCCCCCAGUAGCGGCGAGCGAACGGGGAGCAGCCCAGAGUCUGAAUCAGCUUGUGUGUUAGUGGAACGGUCUGGAAAGUCCGACGGUACAGGGUGAUAGUCCCGUACACCAAAAUGCACAGGUUGUGAACUCGAAGAGUAGGGCGGGACACGUGGUAUCCUGUCUGAAUAUGGGGGGACCAUCCUCCAAGGCUAAAUACUCCUGACUGACCGAUAGUGAACCAGUACCGUGAGGGAAAGGCGAAAAGAACCCCGGCGAGGGGAGUGAAAAAGAACCUGAAACCGUGUACGUACAAGCAGUGGGAGCACCUUCGGGUGUGACUGCGUACCUUUUGUAUAAUGGGUCAGCGACUUAUAUUCUGUAGCAAGGUUAACCGUAUAGGGGAGCCGCAGGGAAACCGAGUCUUAACUGGGCGUUAAGUUGCAGGGUAUAGACCCGAAACCCGGUGAUCUAGCCAUGGGCAGGUUGAAGGUUGGGUAACACUAACUGGAGGACCGAACCGACUAAUGUUGAAAAAUUAGCGGAUGACUUGUGGCUGGGGGUGAAAGGCCAAUCAAACCGGGAGAUAGCUGGUUCUCCCCGAAAGCUAUUUAGGUAGCGCCUCGUGAACUCAUCUUCGGGGGUAGAGCACUGUUUCGGCUAGGGGGUCAUCCCGACUUACCAACCCGAUGCAAACUACGAAUACCGAAGAAUGUUAUCACGGGAGACACACGGCGGGUGCUAACGUCCGUCGUGAAGAGGGAAACAACCCAGACCGCCAGCUAAGGUCCCAAAGUCAUGGUUAAGUGGGAAACGAUGUGGGAAGGCACAGACAGCCAGGAUGUUGGCUUAGAAGCAGCCAUCAUUUAAAGAAAGCGUAAUAGCUCACUGGUCGAGUCGGCCUGCGCGGAAGAUGUAACGGGGCUAAACCAUGCACCGAAGCUGCGGCAGCGACACUAUGUGUUGUUGGGUAGGGGAGCGUUCUGUAAGCCUGCGAAGGUGACCUGUGAGGGUUGCUGGAGGUAUCAGAAGUGCGAAUGCUGACAUAAGUAACGAUAAAGCGGGUGAAAAGCCCGCUCGCCGGAAGACCAAGGGUUCCUGUCCAACGUUAAUCGGGGCAGGGUGAGUCGACCCCUAAGGCGAGGCCGAAAGGCGUAGUCGAUGGGAAACAGGUUAAUAUUCCUGUACUUGGUGUUACUGCGAAGGGGGGACGGAGAAGGCUAUGUUAGCCGGGCGACGGUUGUCCCGGUUUAAGCAUGUAGGCUGAUUAUCCAGGCAAAUCCGGAUAAUCAAGGCUGAGGUGUGAUGACGAGGCACUACGGUGCUGAAGUAACAAAUGCCCUGCUUCCAGGAAAAGCCUCUAAGCAUCAGGUAACAUCAAAUCGUACCCCAAACCGACACAGGUGGUCAGGUAGAGAAUACCAAGGCGCUUGAGAGAACUCGGGUGAAGGAACUAGGCAAAAUGGUGCCGUAACUUCGGGAGAAGGCACGCUGGUGUGUAGGUGAAGUCCCUGCGGAUGGAGCUGAGACCAGUCGAAGAUACCAGCUGGCUGCAACUGUUUAUUAAAAACACAGCACUGUGCAAACACGAAAGUGGACGUAUACGGUGUGACGCCUGCCCGGUGCCGGAAGGUUAAUUGAUGGGGUUAUCCGUAAGGAGAAGCUCUUGAUCGAAGCCCCGGUAAACGGCGGCCGUAACUAUAACGGUCCUAAGGUAGCGAAAUUCCUUGUCGGGUAAGUUCCGACCUGCACGAAUGGCGUAAUGAUGGCCAGGCUGUCUCCACCCGAGACUCAGUGAAAUUGAACUCGCUGUGAAGAUGCAGUGUACCCGCGGCAAGACGGAAAGACCCCGUGAACCUUUACUAUAGCUUGACACUGAACAUUGAGCCUUGAUGUGUAGGAUAGGUGGGAGGCUUUGAAGCGUGGACGCCAGUCUGCGUGGAGCCAACCUUGAAAUACCACCCUUUAAUGUUUGAUGUUCUAACGUUGGCCCCUGACCGGGGUUGCGGACAGUGUCUGGUGGGUAGUUUGACUGGGGCGGUCUCCUCCCAAAGCGUAACGGAGGAGCACGAAGGUUAGCUAAUCCUGGUCGGACAUCAGGAGGUUAGUGCAAUGGCAUAAGCUAGCUUGACUGCGAGCGUGACGGCGCGAGCAGGUGCGAAAGCAGGUCAUAGUGAUCCGGUGGUUCUGAAUGGAAGGGCCAUCGCUCAACGGAUAAAAGGUACUCCGGGGAUAACAGGCUGAUACCGCCCAAGAGUUCAUAUCGACGGCGGUGUUUGGCACCUCGAUGUCGGCUCAUCACAUCCUGGGGCUGAAGUAGGUCCCAAGGGUAUGGCUGUUCGCCAUUUAAAGUGGUACGCGAGCUGGGUUUAGAACGUCGUGAGACAGUUCGGUCCCUAUCUGCCGUGGACGCUGGAGAAUUGAGGGGGGCUGCUCCUAGUACGAGAGGACCGGAGUGGACGCAUCACUGGUGUUCGGGUUGUCAUGCCAAUGGCACUGCCCGGUAGCUAAAUGCGGAAGAGAUAAGUGCUGAAAGCAUCUAAGCACGAAACUUGCCCCGAGAUGAGUUCUCCCUGAGACUUUAAGUCUCCUGAAGGAACGUUAAAGACGAUGACGUUGAUAGGCCGGGUGUGUAAGCGCAGCGAUGCGUUGAGCUAACCGGUACUAAUGAACCGUGAGGCUUAACCUU